GGGGGGGGGGGCAAAGCAUCUUCCCACCUGAACUGUAUUGAUAUAGGCAAACCACAGAUCAACCACCUCGUUUAGGGAAAACAAGGCAAAUAAAACCCUAUAUUGUCUUAGUUAAUUUUGGAAAAGUGAACCAAUACCACAACACACUACCUUUGCUAAAUUGAGCCUCGCAAGUAACCUGUAGUCCCAGCACAAGGGUAUCAGAGGGAACGAGAGGCCUGCAGUGUUUUGAAUGGAAGCUCGAUAAUAAAGACAAUGAAAGUGGUCUGGGAGAAGGCCACAGAAGACCCACUCAGAUGUGGGGAAGGCUCGUGGAUGAUUCACACGGAGUUAACUCAUCACGAGCUUGGCCUUUGCGAUGGCAUCCUUGCUAGGAGAUACGAGGAUCCAAGGACUAGAAAAAAGUGUGAGCUUUUCGACACCUUAGGAUUCACGGUCCCUUCAAUUGACAUCACCAAGAUGGGUUGGUAAUGAUUGGUGCUCGGUGACCUCUUAGUGAAGAUCGUGAGAGGCCCAAGUUGGCGUACAUAGUUUCAAUGGUCCAUCGUACCGUUCCAUCUUGGAGAAUGAUCAACCACUAGAGAGCACUGCUUGGUCCUUGCAUAGAUCAAGGGGGAGCUAUAUCUUGUGAGGUGCUCUAACAAGGACUAGUGAGGAGUGACAACUCUCCGAUACCUCUCAUGAAACAUCGUUGUGUCCCUUGCUCCCUCUUUACAUUAUGCAUAUAAUUCCUUGUAAUUUAUAUUCCUAUAAUUGUCAUGCUAGUGUAGGGUUCGAACUUAGGGUGCAAAAGUUUUGUGCUACAGACAUAGAACAACAUGUAUGGGUGAAUUUAGCUAAACAUAGAUUUUAUUUUUGUGAAACUUUUAGAUUAUCUUAAUUCACUCCAUCCCUAUUGGACAUGCAUCUUCUCAUUCUUUCAAUAGUCAAGCUCCUAAUCAAAUGGACUUUGGGA